rnacentral:rRNA from 1 species
CCUACGGGAGGCAGCAGCAGGGAAUCUUGGGCAAUGGGCGCAAGCCUGACCCAGCGACGUCGCGUGGGGGGCGAAGGCCUUCGGGUUGUAAACCCCUUUUCCGAGGGAAGAUACAGGACGGUACCUCGGGAAUAAGCCCCGGCUAACUACGUGCCAGCAGCCGCGGUAAUACGUAGGGGGCAAGCGUUACCCGGAAUCACUGGGCGUAAAGUGCGCGUAGGCGGUUGGAUAAGUCUCUUGUGAAAGCUCCCGGCUCAACUGGGAGAGGUCAAGGGAUACUAUUCGACUAGAGGACAGCAGAGGUAAGCAGAAUUCCCGGUGUAGCGGUGGAAUGCGUAGAUAUCGGGAGGAACACCAGUGGCGAAAGCGGCUUACUGGGCUGUAACUGACGCUGAGGCGCGAGAGCGUGGGGAGCAAACUGGAUUAGAUACCCAGGUAGUCCACGCCCUAAACGAUGGAUACUAGGUAUGGGGGGUAUUGACCCCCUCCGUGCCGUAGCUAACGCGCUAAGUAUCCCGCCUGGGGACUACGGCCGCAAGGCUAAAACUCAAAGGAAUUGACGG